rnacentral:rRNA from 1 species
ACCUUCGGGUCUAGUGGCGCACGGGUGCGUAACGCGUGGGAAUCUGCCCCUUGGUUCGGAAUAACACAGAGAAAUUUGUGCUAAUACCGGAUGACGACGAAAGUCCAAAGAUUUAUCGCCGAGGGAUGAGCCCGCGUAAGAUUAGGUAGUUGGUGGGGUAAAGGCCUACCAAGCCGACGAUCUUUAGCUGGUCUGAGAGGAUGAUCAGCCACACUGGGACUGAGACACGGCCCAGACUCCUACGGGAGGCAGCAGUGGGGAAUAUUGGACAAUGGGCGAAAGCCUGAUCCAGCAAUGCCGCGUGAGUGAUGAAGGCCCUCGGGUCGUAAAGCUCUUUUACCAGGGAUGAUAAUGACAGUACCUGGAGAAUAAGCUCCGGCUAACUCCGUGCCAGCAGCCGCGGUAAUACGGAGGGAGCUAGCGUUGUUCGGAAUUACUGGGCGUAAAGCGCACGUAGGCGGCUACUCAAGUCAGAGGUGAAAGCCCGGGGCUCAACCCCGGAACUGCCUUUGAAACUAGGUAGCUAGAAUCUUGGAGAGGUCAGUGGAAUUCCGAGUGUAGAGGUGAAAUUCGUAGAUAUUCGGAAGAACACCAGUGGCGAAGGCGACUGACUGGACAAGUAUUGACGCUGAGGUGCGAAAGCG